UACGGAGGGUGCAAGCGUUGCUCGGAAUUAUUGGGCGUAAAGGGUAGGUAGGUGGUCUCAUUUGUCUUAUGUGAAAGCCUUGAGCUUAACUCAAGAAGUGCGUAAGAAACGGUGAGACUCGAGUUCUGGAGAGGGUCGUGGAAUUCCCGGUGUAGCGGUGAAAUGCGUAGAGAUUGGGAGGAACACCAGAGGCGAAGGCGGCGACCUGGACAGAUACUGACACUCAACUACGAAAGCGUGGGGAGCAAACAGGG
rnacentral:rRNA from 1 species